GAUGAACGCUGGCGGCGUGCCUAAUACAUGCAAGUCGAGCGAACAGACGAGGAUGUUUCUCCUCGGACGUGAGCGUCUUACGGGUGAGUAACAGGUGGAUAACCUACCUGUGGGACUGGUAUAACUUCGGGAAAGCGGAGCUAAGACCGGGUAAGAUAUUGAACCGCAUGGUUCAAUAGUGAAAGGCGGUUGUGCUGUCACUUAUGGAGGGAUCCGCGCCGCAUUAGAUAGUUGGGACGGUAACGGCUUACACAGGCAACGAUGCGUAGCCCACCUGAGAGGGUGGUCGGACAGCCGGGCAGUGAGACACGCCCCCGACUCCUACGGGAGGCAGCAGUAGGGAAUCCUACGCAAUGCGCGAAAGCUUGACGGAGCAAAGCCGCGUGAGUGAUGAAGGUCCUAGGAUCGUAAAACUAUGUUAUUAGGGAAGAACAAAUGUGUAAGUAACUAUGCACGUAUUGACGGUACCUAAUCAGAAAGCAACGGCUAACUACGUG
rnacentral:rRNA from 1 species